UACGGGGGGGGCAAGCGUUGUUCGGAAUUACUGGGCGUAAAGGGCGCGUAGGCGGCCUUCUAAGUCAGACGUGAAAUCCCUCGGCUCAACCGAGGAACUGCGUCUGAUACUGGAAGGCUUGAAUCCGGGAGAGGGAUGUGGAAUUCCAGGUGUAGCGGUGAAAUGCGUAGAUAUCUGGAGGAACACCGGUGGCGAAGGCGGCAUCCUGGACCGGUAUUGACGCUGAGGCGCGAAAGCGUGGGGAGCAAACAGG
rnacentral:rRNA from 1 species